CACACACACACACACACACACACACACACACACACACACACACACACACACACACACAAAUUAGUCCAUUAAAUGACAAUACAUAUGUAUGAAUAUGUAUGUUUUUUAAUCAAAGAAACGAUUUACAUAUUGUAAAUAUAAUUAUGUGCAAUUGUUAAAUGAUUUUUUAAUUUAAACAAUAAUUUAUCUUUUUUAUGCUUUUUAUUUAAAAAAAAUCUUAAAACAGAUCAUAUAAAUACUACUAUACAAUUUUAACACUUAACCAGUCCAAAGAAGGUACCUGUACCCCAUACUGCCCACCUAAGCUUUGAAGAUUUUUGUCAUUUUUUUCAUAUCAAAAGAAUUAUCUGAAGGUGUACUUUUUAGUUUUUCAAGUAUGUCAGUAUCUUAUGAGAGGCCAGGUAAGAGAAUAGUUACAAGUGUUAUAAUUUUAUUUAAAAAAAUACUAAAUUGUAAGUAUGUGGCUCUUAAAUUCAGAUAGUACAACCAUUUCUUUUUUAGAUUAUUGAAAUAGAUAAAAAGUGGGAAAUCUUGUCUGAAACAACAAAAUUACAACAAAGUUACAGAUUAUAAAGUCACCCAGCUGGUCCGCCGAUGACAUGGUCACAGACUGUAAUAUCAGAGACAUAUUUAUAUGAAUACUAAGGAUCAUAUAGCUACUAUGGAUUCUAUACGAGUCGGAUAUGGAUAAGGUAUAGAAAUAUACUGAUAAGGCUUUUAGUCAAAUCAAAAACUAAAAAGUAAGUAUUUCAAUACUGUGUUGUUUCCAAAACAAUUUAUUCUAAUUCAUACAAUUCUCUUCAUACAUUUCCAAAGAUUACAUUCCAAAUUUUUAGUUAUAUUUUUGAUUCUCUAACUUAUUUUAUUGUAAAUUGAAGCAUAUACGAGACGAAAGACUACAAAAUGACUACGAGUCGACUUCUCAAAUAUGAAACAAUACGUCAUAUUUUACUUUGAGGAUUUUGAUCGGAGAAAAAUGUUUUUUUUCACAUUAAUAGUGUUGCAAAGCCCGGUUAAUUUGAGCUCAACCAGUUAAAAAUAUCUUGAUUAGGUUUGGAGAUAUUAAAGGUCAAACUUAGUCGCUAUUUGUGGUUAAACUAUAUAACAUGUCGACAUUAACCAAAACGUGCUGGCAGCUUAUUUUAUGCAGUUUUUAAACAUGUAUUGCACAUUGACGUUAGCAUUGUUUUGCGUCUUGAAAAACAGUUGUAAAAGUACCGCGAGCGUGCGAAUUUCGUCGCUGCGGUUGAAAGUGGAGGGGAGGGCAUAGUCUUGAGCGCGAGAAGUAAAAGUGAAUUCGUGCGCUUCAAAUUCGCUCGCGCUGCAAAAAAGUGAUUUUCUCAGCAACCGUGCUCGCGAGCGAUGGCCAACUUUGUCCCCAUCCCUGGUCGCGGCCCUGAGCCACCCGGGUGUCGAGGCGAUCCGUGUUCUCGUGUUGUCGCUAUAUAAAAUAUAAAAUUGGGCGCCAGGUACGUUAAGCGUACCAUUCUUUUCAUAAGCCGCGGAAGAUUAUUCUUAAAUUAAUAAAGUCGCGGAAAAAGGGCAAGUCUUGUAGGCGACUGGCAGCUCCGAUAGCCAGUUACUCAGCCCUAAAUGGUAGAGGAAGUGGUGCGGGCGGAUGGAAUCGGGAAGGCGAGAGAAAUAUCGUGAACACAACAUUAAUUAAAGCAAGAGUAAAGGCCAUCACACAAUUCCAGGGAACAGGCAAUAGGAAUAGAAAAUAAAGAAAGAGAGAUAGAGAGAAGAGCCUUUCUCUCUUUCUCUCUUUCAUUAUUUCUGUUCCUAUUGUCUGGCAUUGUGUUUAGGUCCUAACAAGUAUAUAUUUCACGAUUCAAACAAUCACAGGUUCUUAACGGUCGGUCGAGCGGCGAUCACACUUUACGCGCGCAACGAGCAGACGAUCGCUCGGAAUCAGAUCUCUCGAACGGGAUAAUUAUGAGGAACGUCAUUUCACGUACGCGAAGAUUCUCUGGCUCGUCUAUACCUUACUAUGCGUUGUUGGUAGACACCGAACUCCCGGUAAGAUAACGAUCUCGCCAAGGGCGAUCGGGACGAACAAUAUCUCGAAGCCCGCGCUCUUUCAUACAAUAUAAUAUCCCGCGAAGAACGUGCGCGACAAUUACUACUCGUUCGCUAACAAGGCGGUAAGAGACGAAUACAUUUAUCUUGAUGAAAACGCAAUCGCGCAAGAGUUCACGACAUAAAUACGGUACAAAUACAAUAAUGACUCGGCUGCGGAUCGGGACACGCAACGCAAACACAACAAAAAGAACGGAACGUAUCGAAUUCACGCAGGCGGGCGUCGUCAGGCGAGACGACGAAAUUGCAGAAAAUCCGCGAGUUCUACGUAACUGUGCGUUAACAACGGAAAGACUAAUAGAUCCGUGACUCUUCGCGGCUCGUCCAAUCGCGAAAUCGGUGGCUUUACAAUAAUCUUGGCGACGUUUGUCUCACCGAGUUGAUUCCUUCUCAGUCUCUUCCGGGUCGGGAUAUUCAGGCUCCUGCGUCCUUUUACAAUUUGGUAGCUCGGAAUCACUGCCACUCGCACGACAUCCGCAACCAGAGUGUUCGAUCCUUGAUCCUGCGGCGACCGCUCGGCGACGCGCCCCACCAUGUUUAUGAUAAGCAGGGCCCUUAUUGGCCGCGUUUUUCCGGCUCGAUGUGCGCGCAACGCGUGACCGGCGUGACAUGCGUUGCCGCUACUUACUAGGAGUGCGUUCGGGGAGACGCUAUUAGCGCUACGAGCAUCAGUCCAUCUUCAUUUCUCAUUAAAAGUAAAACAAGGAUAAACUGAUGCUGAUAGCGCUAAUAGCGUCUCCCCGAACGCACCCUAGGUGAUUCUAAGCACGGUGAUCAAAUUUUCGGGGUCCUGCGCACGUGAAAUUGUGCGCUUCCUUCUCGGCAGCGGCUCCUUGUCUCUUAGCCGAACGCAUCCUCCGUCUCCGAGACGUAGUCCUCGCCUUUCCAUGGUCGGAAAAUAUGCAGUUGAUCUGUGUGGCCUUUGCCGGAAAUUUUGCGGGAUCUGCUUCCUAGCUGCGCCGUCUGGACAUCCUUCCUGCGCGCUUUCCUCGGAUCCUACAAUCGUUAUUCGUCAGCAGUAACGAGACCUUUUAAUGCGAUGAAAAAUUGCAAGCAAGCUCACUCCAUAAUCCCCGGGAAGGUCCUCAGUCGAGAUGAGACGUCAAAAAUUACAAGAUAGCUCCUAUUGGUCACCGACUUCCGCCGCACUCACGAGGCAACGCUCGAUCGCAAAAACUUUACUAAUUAGAAAAAGGACAACACACGGGACGGCACACAUAGAAAAUACGACGCGUCACGCUUCCGCGCCCGCUCCCGAGCAAGAGGACGCAGGAUCACGGUUGCCAUCUCAGACUUUCGGUUCGCCCGGAGAUUUGGAAAUUCUUCUCCAGAAUAAAAGAAUACGCAUUGCUAGCAGUCUGUGGAGUGGAAUUUCUUCCAAAAACGAGAAAAAAUUGUUAAUUUGCUGUCACAUCAUAACAAUGUUUGCUUAAUAUAAAAGAUCUACAUAUGCCUACCAUUAAACCUCAUCGCAAGUCUCCAUCACCACCAGUUAUCAAAUAUCACAAGGCCAAAGUGGAGAUUUAUAGAUCGGCCCUUGAAGAAGAUUGUUUCCAUCCAUCGAAGAGAGUGGUUUUGGAUAUACAAAGAGCAACUGUAGAACAACCAACAACAAUUAACAUUGAAACCAAUGAUAACAUCAAGAUUGUGCUAUCAGGUAAAAAAAAUAAUGGUAAAAAGUAAAAAGGAAUGUUAAAUUUUUUAUCAGCUGUCUUAAUUCCGACAAUUGUACAUAGAAUUUUAUCCACUCUGAUUUCCACAUUCUGAUAAUUGUACAUAUUUUGUAAUACGUCAUAUUGUUGAAAUAAAUAACAAAAUAUAUAUAACUUAAUGUUAUUAUUAUUUAAAUAAUUUAAUUUUUCUCUUUUUUUUAUUUCAUUAAUAAUUUUAUUAAAUCUCAAGAUUUGAAUUUUGUCGCAAUUGAAGAGUGGGGGGAUUUAGGAAGGCCUCCGAGCUGGUAGAUAGCUCUGAAACUCGGACACGCUAUUUAAUAUUGUGCUCUUAUGGCAGCUUCCACUCUAUCUGAUCCUCUUUGGCGAAAAUAUUAGUUUUGAUGGUUCUGGUGUACUCUAGCAGAGUUAAGCCUUGUCGGUGUCGCGUGGUUAAUUUAAGUCUUUCGGACGCGCGAGUGUUUACGGACAUAUUUAAAGCCGAACAAAUUUUUAAACGUGCUUUUUUUUAUACAAUUGGUAAUGGCAUAAUUUGCGUUGCUGUGUGACUCUGUUUACUCUGCUAUGGGAAACAUAACCUCCAAAUGACAGUUUCCUCAAUGUGGUGAACUAUAUAAACAAUUUAUUUCCCAUGGAGCAGUCACUACAUCGAUGAGGUGGUGAAUAAUAUAGAAAAUAUCACUAUUGAUAGGAAGAUACGGUCAGUUGUGCAUGGUCAGAUUAAUGUGGAUCAGGAUGGUAGAACAGUAUUGGAAGAUGCGCAAAAGGAGGGGAAAGUCACUGUUAUCAGAGAGCAAUCUGCAUGCAUGUUUAUUUGAAAUAGCAAUAAGAUUGGAAGAUGGAGAUGCAAAGAUAGACGAGACAGAAGAAAUCGGGUCAGGAGAUGAACAAACAGUGGAACCAGAAGAAGAAUCUGAAGAAGUGGACUUUUGAACCAGGAGUAGCAAAUAGCCCAUACAAUCCGUAAACACCUUCAGGAAUGGAUUCUUGGUUGGUUCUGGUAUCAUAGGUAGCUUAGAUUGGCAUACAACAAAUAUUGAAGUAUAUAUUCUCAUGACAAGCAACGUGAAACAUGAUGACAAUAAGCAAUCAACCAAGGAAUUUCAGUAUGUGUACCGUUUAUCUACCUACCGAAGUUUGAACUAGAAGCCUAAUAUGUGAUCAACUGGAGCUUGUAAUACCGUGGCGAUGGAAUUAAAGUGAUUCUAAGUGAAGACCGUGAAGCAAUCGGCACCGUACUUUCGAUCAUUUGUAUAUGCUGGUGGAAGGAGUAGAUAAUCUAAAAGUGUUAACACAAAGGAAACAAUGGAGAAAUUAUUUCAUCAUUGCAAGAAUGAUUCAGAUGACGCAACAUUUUAGUAGCUACUUGGACAUAUCACAAGUGAGGCAAUUAUCUGAUCAAGUUUGUCAGAGGAUGAGUUGGCUCAGCAGAUUGCAGCGGAUUUCAAAUAGGCCUUUUCGGGUCAAAAUCUAAAGCAUUUCAAUCAGUUAACGGAAAAAUGUUUAGUAUUAUCAGAAUGCAUCCUAAAGUAAAGUAUGCACAUCAUAGAAAUAUUUGUAGAUUUAGUAUAAGCAAUAACAAACGUACGAUAAUGUUCGAAGCAUCUUUUUUUAUAGAAAAGAUCUGCUCGUUUGAUUUAUAAAUAUCCAAUUGCAAGAAUACGCACAUUUGUUUGACGAGAAUCAGAAUUUUGCCUGGUUGGAUAAAUCGAAGAUAUACAUGGAUUUUAAGGAACAUCUGCUCGAUUUUGAGACAAAGUUUGUUGCAAUCAUUCCCCAAGAUUGGGAGAUUUCUGAGCGAAUAGCUAUACAAUUCUGCCAUAUCACGUGUGAAGAUCUUAUUAAGUUAACGAACAAGAGACGCAAUGAGAUAGACAUUAAAUUAUUGUUCUACUUCUAUUUCAACUGCGUUUGUAUUUACAUAAAAAUUACAUAUACUGUAUUGUAUUAUAAAUAUUAUAUAAUUCAUGUAAAAAUAAAUAUUAAUUUUUAUAUUUAA